GCGCCCGUAGCUCAGUGGAUAGAGUAUUGGCCUCCGAAGCCAAGGGUCGCUGGUUCGAUUCCAGCUGGGCGCACCA
rnacentral:tRNA from 1 species